rnacentral:lncRNA from 1 species
AUGCCACAAAAUAUUCUUCACACGUAUUUGAAAACAAGAGGAAACGGGCUUGCUACAUCGUUUUGUUUGUCUAUAAAAGCUGUACAAGGAUUCAUGGGGGGGGGGGGGUCACAGAGAGGGAGAAAGCUACCUCCAGUGGUGCAUAGUUUUAGCUUUGACGUCUGUAGAUCUGUUGAGCAUUUGUUUGUCCGUUUGUGUGUGUGUGUGUGUGUGUCCAAUUCAGGACACAACGUUGAGUUCAAAGUUCUUCAGUGACACAUUGUUGACGACAAUGAUUUGUCCCCGGGAAGGCACGUGAUCCGUGACGGCAGAAUUUCAAAGGCAUUGAACAAAAACAAUACAAAUCCCUGUUGGUUUCAUGAUCCACAUAUGACCAUUGAGCGGUGGACAGAAGAGUUCAAAAUAGGCCUCCUCCUCCUCCCAGAAUUCCCUUGGAGAAAAACAAAAAAGUAGGAGACAAUCGCCAAGCAACGCUUCUUUUUCUCCUGUCCCUCACAACUUGUAAUUAUUAUUUUUUAAAACAUUCCAACGCAAUGUGAAAAGAUCAAGACGGCUCUAUGACGACCACAAAAGGUUGAUCACAUGUACGCUUCAAAACGAAAAGAUUCAAUACAACAGUGAGAGUCACUCCAGGAGCAAUACAUGUAUGUACACUCAACCAUACUAACACAUAACACAAUUUGUUUUUGCCUAUGUGCCAUGCUCUAAUACACAUGGGCUAGGCUUUCUUUUUUUAGUUUUUUAAAAGGUAUGUGCUAUGAUCACAGAGGUGGACAAUGUAAGAAAAACAAGCAAACAGAUUUGAAUAGAAAACAUGAAUAUGGAUAAUAACUGACUGGACUUGGACUGACUUGGAGUUUUAGAACUUCCACUUCAAAUGGUGUCCGUACUAAAUUAUUAAAUCUUGUAAUGAGCCCAGUAAUCUAAAGAAAUAAAAAAGUGUAACAAAAUAUUUUUUUUAGAUUCUGUUCAUUCACUUGUCAUGGUCACAUAGCUGAGAAAUUGCUUUAAAAAAGAAGGGAAUUUGCUAUUUCAAUGUAAUGUAGUGCUACUUGUAAGAAAAGGUACAUUUAAGACUGAAUACCUGAUUCAGUGGUCGGUUAAGAUGAUUAUAGACAUAUUUUUUUGCAGUGUUGCUGGGAUCCUGAAAGACUAUUGUUUGUUUUCACACAGCAACCACCCUUUAGCCCAGACAUAGUAAGCAAAAAAUAACAAAGUAACUACAGUACAAACGAGUACUUUAAAGUUAAAGAUAGUUGCAACUUUUUUGGUUUUCAAAUAUUUUACCGGUC